rnacentral:rRNA from 1 species
AUUGAACGCUGGCGGCAGGCCUAACACAUGCAAGUCGAGCGGAUGAAGGUAGCUUGCUCCUGGAUUCAGCGGCGGACGGGUGAGUAAUGCCUAGGAAUCUGCCUGGUAGUGGGGGAUAACGUCCGGAAACGGGCGCUAAUACCGCAUACGUCCUGAGGGAGAAAGUGGGGGAUCUUCGGACCUCACGCUAUCAGAUGAGCCUAGGUCGGAUUAGCUAGUUGGUGGGGUAAAGGCCUACCAAGGCGACGAUCCGUAACUGGUCUGAGAGGAUGAUCAGUCACACUGGAACUGAGACACGGUCCAGACUCCUAAGGGAGGCAGCAGUGGGGAAUAUUGGACAAUGGGCGAAAGCCUGAUCCAGCCAUGCCGCGUGUGUGAAGAAGGUCUUCGGAUUGUAAAGCACUUUAAGUUGGGAGGAAGGGCAGUACGUUAAUACCUUGCUGUUUUGACGUUACCAACAGAAUAAGCACCGGCUAACUUCGUG